GCUACUCUUUCACUGCCUUUAGU
rnacentral:piRNA from 1 species